GACGAACGCUGGCGGCGUGCUCAACACAUGCAAGUCGAACGAAGUGGCGAACGGGUGAGUAACGCGUAAUCAACCUGGCCUUAAGAGGGGGACAACAGUUGGAAACGACUGCUAAUACCGCAUACUGAAGGAGGGGAUUGCGUCUGAUUGGCUAGGUGGAGGGGUAACGGCCCACUAAGGCGAUGGUCAGUAGCCGGUAGGAUGGGAUGAACGGCCAGAUUGGGACUGAGACACGGCCCAGACUCCUACGGGAGGCAGCAGUGGGGAAUCUUCCGCAAUGGACGAAAGUAUGACGGAGCAACGCGGCGUAAGUGAAGACGGCCUUCGGGUUGUAAAGCUCUGUUGUAAGAAAAGCAUUAUCUUACCAGAAAGCCACGGCUAACUACGUGCCAGCAGCCGCGGUAAUUC
rnacentral:rRNA from 1 species